rnacentral:lncRNA from 1 species
UUCUUAAAGCAUUCACAUCGGCAUGCCAAGCUCCGGCACCAAGCCAGGUGCUGAUCCCAAAAGGUGACUUCAAGCUUGGUGAGACCGUGAUGACUGGUCCAUGCAAAUCUCCAAUCGAGUUCACCUUGCAAGGCAACGUGAAAGCUGACGGUGGCUCUACCCAGGGAAAGGAUAGAUGGGUUGUGUUCGAAAAAAUUAAUGGUUUUAAGUUGAACGGAGGUGGAACAUUUGACGGUGAAGGCAAUGCAGCUUGGAAAGCCAACAACUGCCACAAGACUUUUGAGUGCAAGAAACUUCCCAUCGUAGGUGUUUCCGUCUUUAAUAUAUUAACACCAAUGGCUUUUUUUAAAGAUGAUAUAAUUCAGUGAUGCAUGCUAUCUUUCAGAGUGUAAGGUUUGAUUUUGUGGAUAACGCUGAGAUAAAAGACAUAACCUCAUUAGAUGCCAAAAACUUCCACUUCAACGUUAUCAGCGGCAAGAACAUGACCUUUGAUAACAUCAAGAUCAUCGCUCCAGCUGAAAGCCCCAACACUGACGGUAUCCAUUUGGGAAGAUGUGAGGGAGUCAAGAUCCUCAACACUAAGAUCGCCACAGGAGAUGACUGCAUCUCCGUGGGAGAUGGGAUGAAGAAUCUCCUCAUUGAGAAAGUUGUGUGCGGUCCAGGACACGGAAUCAGUGUUGGAAGCCUUGGAAGGUACGGAUGGGAGCAAGAUGUCACUGACAUUAACGUUAAGAACUGUACCCUUGAGGGAACCGACAACGGUCUGAGGAUCAAGACAUGGCCAUCUGCCGCUUGCACCACCACCGCUGCCGGUAUUCAUUUUGAGGAUAUCAUCCUUAACAAAGUUAGCAACCCAAUCCUCAUCGACCAGGAGUACUGCCCUUGGAACCAAUGCAACAAGAACGUAAGUAUCUUUUAUUAGAUUCUAUGUCUUGCCACUAUCACCGUAUUCUAUGAAAUUGGAUGGCUCAGCAAACAUAUUAUUCUGAUGGUUUUCUAGAUAUUUAGCAUUCACCAUUUUGGUUGAGGUUACAUAUAUAUGAUUAUGAUCCCAAAGUUUUUUUUUCUAUUUGCAGAAACCAUCAACAAUUAAGCUGGUGGACAUUACCUUCAGGAAUAUUAGAGGAACAUCAGGGAACAAGGACGCAGUAAAACUAUUGUGCAGCAAGGGACAUCCAUGUGAGAACGUUGAGAUUGGAGACAUUAACAUUGAGUACACAGGACCUGACGGUCCACCCACUUUCGAGUGCACAAACGUCACACCUAAGCUUGUGGGAACCCAGAACCCAAAGGCUUGCGUUGGACCUGUGGUCAAGGCUCCUGGCAAAGAGUAAAAUGUUGAAGCUCAUAUCAACACACUAGGGCUUCCACAUCCAAUUUUGUUUAUUCUUUUUCUAAUCCUUUUUCAAGUCACGUAAGGGAGACUUUUACAAAGCUGUAACAAAAAAAUGUUUCUAUCCGAUGCCAACACAUAUAUAGAUGUGUGAGUGCAUAAUGAUGUAAUUAAUAAAACUAAAUUAUAUAUUCUGCGUAUGAUUGUUUCUUUUUAAAAUAUUAAUAUGCGCGGUAAGUUGUAUACACUUCAAUCUUAAUUUUGUUUUCUUUUCCGAAUCUUAAAAUUAUUUAACAAGAUCUGAUUUCAACCUUAAGAUUAAUUUAACUAAUACAGUAUUAGUUUUUUUUUUUUUAGAACUCAUUUUAAACUAGAACUCAAAUCAUUUCAAUAAUAGUUCACUAACAUGUAGUAUUCUUUCCAAGUUAUACUGAACUAGAACUCAAAGAUACACUUGUUCAUACAUAACCGAUGCAAGCAUUUGGACAACGAAACAUGACAUCGUCAUAAGUAAUCUGAUUGGAAAUGUAAUUUUCAAUCAAACUUUCGCUCUUUGCUUAUGAUCUCUUUGGAAAAAAUUUCACUUGAUAAUAUGAGGUGCAUACUCUUCCUCUCUACUUUGGUUCAAUGCUCCUUAAACAUGUUGGAUACUUUUUUAGGCUUCAAUAUAAAAAAGAAGUUAGGAAAAAUUUAUUGAUAUUGUUAGUAAUAUUACUUCUAUGAUAUUGGUACUUCAAAAGAAGCAUGAGUUAUUAUAGAAACUAGGUUAAGAUCUCUGUUUUGCGCAUGAUGAAUUUUAUGUAUACAAAUGAUAUUUUUCUAUUUUUAUUAUUUAUUUUGUGUUUAUUUAUUUCAUAUUUAUAUAAUUAAAUUAGAGUAAACACAUAAAUCAAAACUAUACCUCCUUUUAUUUCUAAUUUUUUUCAUAAAUAAAUCAAUCGUUUUAUUUAUUUUAUAUGAAAUAUAAUUAAUUUGAAUGAUAAUGACAUAGAUAUCUAGUAAAAUUUAAUAUAACUUAUUAAUUGAGAUUUCCUACUCAUAUAAUCUUAUUAACAUUUGUAUAUAUUGCUGUAAAAAAAAUUAAACCAUUAAUUACAAAACUUUCAAUGUGAGAUUUAUUUCAAUACAAAAUUUUAAAUUGAAAUAUUAAGGUCUCAAUACUUUUAAAAUGUAAAUUUCAAAAUUAACGUAUUUAUGUAUUUUUAUAUGGUAUAUAGUUUAAUUUAAACGAUAUUAAGAUAUAUAUAUAUAUAUAUAUUUAAUAUGAAUAUCUAUUAAAUGAGACUUUAUAUUCAUACAAUUUUAUGAUCAUUUUGUAUCUUGUUAUAACAAAAAAAAGUAGUUAAACCAUUGAUUACAAAAUUUCAAUAUGGGCUUUUAACAUUUUUUAGUAAUUUAUAGUUUUUUAAAAUUCAUAAUAUAACAUAUAAGAAAGAGUCUAUAUUUUAAGUAUAUGGUUAAUGUGAUUGUAUAAUUUCUUUUAAUAAUAUAAAAUUAAAUAAAAUAGAUGGAGGUUACAAAAAUUGUUAUCAAAUCUUUAUUAUUCAUAAUCAUUAGUUUUCGUAUAUAUGUUAAUCAUAUUAGGUAAUUUCGUAACUUUUAUUUAGAGAAAUAAUGAAAAUAUUCUUUUGAACAUACAUUACUAAUCAAUUUGAUAGUUAGUUUAAUAAUAAGAUAUAAUAUAUGUUUCGAUAGACCAUCUAUUUUUUUAAGGAUCCUAAGCAUCAUUGUUGUAUUAAUACGUGGAUACAAAAAAAUGUUGCAAUGCUUUUCAAAUAUAUAAAUGAUUAUGUGGUUGAAAGAAAUUAGAAAAAUGCAAUGCAGUUAAGUAAUGAGGAACGAUUGAUUUUUGUUAUUAAAAGACGGAAGUCACGAACCACAUUAAUUAAAGUCAUCGAUUACUGACUGAUGACAACAUAUUUGACAAACAAUAAUAGAAGUUACAUAUAUUAACGCAUAAAGUUACAAAAUACAUAUACAUAUUUGACAAACAAUAAUAGAAGCGACGAAAUACAAACAAACACCUAAAACAAUUAAUUUUCAAAUACAGUCCAGGUUCUCCGAAAGUCGUUUGCUUUGAAAUGCUCUUUUUUAACUUAGUCAUAAACAUCUUCAUCUUUAUAACAUUAAUUAUUUCUUUUAUGAACUGGUUUGCCUUUUUUUCUUCAUGAUAUUGGGUUCAAUAGUUCCAACUUUUGCCUUUUGAAUUGUGUAAAUCUAUUUCACUAUUUGUUGACCAUUUGCAAUUCUUGCUUUUCUUUCAUCAUAUCAUUUUUUGUUGUAUACAUUUCCCUUGAAUGAUGACUAACUUAUACAAAAUUGGAAUCACUUGCAUCAUUUUCGUGGAUUCUUUUAAACCCACUUCUGCCUGACUACAAGAACAUAUUUAAUCACAGAUGAUGACGAGCCCCAUUCCAACAUGUUGAAAUGUAUAGUCUUGGCACUUGAACAUAGCUCAUGCGUUUUUUUUGUCAAUAUAUCAUUAUUCUCUGAUCAUCCAUUUUGUUACAUAGACUUUGCUAUUGUCAGUGCCAACCAUUAUUCCGAUAGUUUUUUCAUGUGGUGUAGUAAUUUUUCUAAACGAAGCAAUUACUGUUCUCUAACAAUUUUGAAAACCAACCAAUGCUAACGUCCAUAUAUAUUUUCCGCAGCCUGCACAACAGGAUUAUCAGAACGUAAAUCUCCUGAAUUUCUUUAAGUUCUAGUACCUUAUAAAAUUCUACUAACAAUUUGAUAUCUUUUUAGAUGGUGUAAAUGUAAUAACAUAAGUUGGCUAGAAACUAACCUCCCAAAAAUAGAGGUAUCAUGCAAAUGCUAUAAACACGAGUGGAACAAGUCUUAUGCCUAACAAUUGAACGCUAAUUUCCCAAAAUUAAAGUAACCUAGCUAAUACUUCCUUAAAAAUGGGUCAAACAUUCUAAAAAAUGAGAAGUUGGGAGAAAGUAUGGGCCUUCAACAUAUCUCUCCAUUUAACGCACUAUAUAAAGCAGCAGGUGCGUAGUAAAAAUCUCAGAAAACAAAAAUUAAAAGACAAUAAAAAAUAAAAAUAAAUAAAUAAAUAUGGGUUCAUAUUUGGGAAUCUAUACAAUUUUGGUUCUAUGUUUGCUAGGAUAUUCAGCCAAUGCUGAGGUGUUCACCGCUGGUGGUCCUCCAAAUUCUGAUAUUACCGCGGUUAGUAUCUUCACUUGUUUUUUAUUACUUGAAUUCCAAUCAAUGUGUAAACCAUUUCUUAUAUUAACAUACUCGUGGGAGCUAUUGUUGCAGGCAGUUCUUAAAGCAUUCACAUCGGCAUGUCAAGCUCCGGCACCAAGCCAGGUGCUGAUCCCAAAAGGUGACUUCAAGCUUGGUGAGACCGUGAUGACUGGUCCAUGCAAAUCUCCAAUCGAGUUCACCUUGCAAGGCAACGUGAAAGCUGACGGUGGCUCUACCCAGGGAAAGGAUAGAUGGGUUGUGUUCGAAAAAAUUAAUGGUUUUAAGUUGAACGGAGGUGGAACAUUUGACGGUGAAGGCAAUGCAGCUUGGAAAGCCAAUAACUGCCACAAGACUUUUGAGUGCAAGAAACUUCCCAUCGUAUGUGUUUAUGUCUUUAAUAUAUUAACACCAAUGGCUUUUUUAAAGAUGAUAUAAUUCAGUGAUGCAUGCUAUCUUUCAGAGCAACUGCCACAAGACUUUUGAGUGCAAGAAACUUCCCAUCGUAGGUGUUUCCGUCUUUAAUAUAUUAACACCAAUGGCUUUUUUUAAAGAUGAUAUAAUUCAGUGAUGCAUGCUAUCUUUCAGAGUGUAAGGUUUGAUUUUGUGGAUAACGCUGAGAUAAAAGACAUAAC